AUUACUGAGCGUGAGGCCACGCAGGACACUCGUUCUGCGCGGCUGACCCUCCACCCGUGUGAACUAUUUGUGUUGCUUUGGCGGGCCGGGCUCGACCUACCGGCUCCGGCUGGGGAGCGCCCGCCAGAGAAGCCCCAACUCGUGUAGUUAGUGCAGUCUGAGUCUAAAUUAAUAAGUAAAACUUUCAACAACGGAUCUCUUGGCUCUGGCAUCGAUGAAGAACGCAGCGAAAUGCGAUAAGUAAUGUGAAUUGCAGAAUUUAGUGAAUCAUCGAAUCUUUGAACGCACAUUGCGCCCCCCGGUAUUCCGAGGGGCAUGCCUGUUCGAGCGUCAGAACAUCCUCUCAAGCCUAGCUUGGUCUUGGGGUGCGCCAGUGUGGCGUCCCCUAAACAUAGUGGCGGUACCGUUGUGCUCUCCGCGUAGUCACAUAUCUCGCGACAGAGCCACCACGGCACCUGCCAGAAUCCCUUUUUCAUGGAUGACCUCGGAUCAGGUAGGGAUACCCGCUGAACUUAAGCAUAUCAAUAAGCGGAGGA
rnacentral:rRNA from 1 species